GGAAACAGUAGCUACUUCAGAUGACCCAGGCCAGAUUCUUGUCUUCAGCAAAACAUUAUGGCACCAGUUAAAUCAACAGAAUGACGUCAAUUUACUCUGAGAAUCCAGAAUUAAGGUGCUGAGAAACCUGAAGUGUCAUUGCUAAAGGCUGGAGUCUCCAAUGUCUUUAAGUGGUUUUGAGGAAACUGCUGUGCAUGAACCACCGUUACAUGAACCUGCGUCCCCAGCCUCCGAAGUGGGGGAUCUCCAGAAGACACAAAGAACUUUAUCUGAACUUCAUAUACCUGCAUUAAAGAGUAGAAUGGAAGAUAGCAUUUUACAGUUCAUCAGUAAGGCAGUUAUAAGUUUAAUUUUAAGACAGAAAAGGCUUUCAAUGUAA
rnacentral:lncRNA from 1 species